rnacentral:siRNA from 1 species
CAUAAACUUUCAAAGACAUGUA